GGAUAUCUGGCGUCCCCCAACUUAUAAGACCGAUCACAAUAGCUUCCUCGGCGGUUUUGACCACGGUUUUAUCCCACGUGGCGGCUGACUCAGCAUGGGACCCACGUGGGCCCCACAUGUCAUGGAGACUAUGUCAGCACCCUCUCUCUUUCUCUAUUUCUCUCCUUCCUUUCGCUCUCUGCUCUCGCACAGGCGGCGGCGCGCGCGGCCAGAGGGUGGUGCGGCCGGCGACGGCGGCUCCUGGGUGGCGGCGCGCGGGCUUAGGGUAGCGCGAGCUCGCUGGCCUCCCAAUCCCCCUCGUGCGGUCGGCAAUGGCGGCGCGCGGCUGCAGCCAUCAUCACCGAUGCGGAGAGGAGGGCCGAUGCGGCGGCAACGGCGUCACCAACACGGUGGGAAAGAGGGUCGGCGUUCUUAGGUGCUUACUCGAGAGUCGAGAUAGCUCGUGACUUGGUGAAGCUUGGACGACGACGGCGACCUCAGGAUCAGCUUGGCGACGGCGGAUGGCGGCGGCUUCACGGCGGCGGCCCACUCCGAUCGAUGCGCUGCUAAAAGAAGAUGUCCAGGGGCUUAGCAAUGUCCCCAGGAAGGUGUAUUCACGAGGAAUCGAGUUCUAGCUCACCAAGGAAAGAGAAAUCAACGGCGAGGACUGGCGGCCGGAGAGGAGGAAGAUGGCGUCGAUCUCGCGGAUGGAGACUCCUCAGCUUCGCGUGCUAAGGCUUCUGAACCGUGCUGAUGUGGCGACGACGCUAGUCAAGUGGCUCGGCAGGAUUCGCACUGUGCGUCGAGAACGUGGCUCGUGCGGCGACAACGCCGUCAGAGG
rnacentral:lncRNA from 1 species